GGCCCGGCUUCCGGGGCCUCUCGCGGCGACCGCGGUGGGGGGGACGAGGGGCACGAGGGGGGACGCGGGGACCGCAGCGCCUGCUCGAUGCGCGCCGAGGCGUGUGGACGCGCGGCCCUGGAGAGGGCACCCGGCAACUUGGUGCCGCCUCCCUUCCUGCCCGCAGCCCUGGGAGAACAAGUUUUUGUGGACAUCAGAUGCCACUUGCAAGCUACGAAUCUUUAGACAAGUCACCGACCCUCAUCUGUAAAAUGGGGACAACAUUCAUCUAACAGGAUGGAAUAAAAUAACACAAGCAAAGCAUUUAAAACUGCACGGCAACUUUCGCUAUAAACGGACUAUGGCUGAUUGAGUUCAGACUCUCCAUAGUGUCUGGCACACAAGACGUGCUUGGAGCUGUUACUGAAUGAAUGGGCCUUUCUAGAGCUGAAAGGGGAACGCACCUUACCUCGGCCCCACCCACAGACUCCACUGUCACCUCCCAGGCCCACUGCUCCCGGGCCUCUAACUCCACGCUUCUGCCCAACCAAGCACACUCAUCC